CUUAAACAUAUGCUUCAUAUUUUGCAGAGAUUUUAAAGUUAAUUUUGUGAAGCCUGGCAGGCAAUGACUCAUCUCUACCUCACCACGUCUAGCUGGAAGCAAGAACACUGAAGACAGAAAAGGCAGAUAUUUUACAGCAAGCAUUGUCUGCUAAAGAGAGAGCCUUCUGGAAACCAAUAGGUUGAAGAACUGAGCAAGUACAUCUGAUGAGGGCAAAGAGAACACCUCUCUCAGGGUGUUUUCAGUGAAACAUAAGGACCCUACAAGGCUGUGAACAGCACAACGCCUACAUUUAGGUGCCUUGACCUUCCCUCGCUCUCAUCCUGGUCUGCAGUGUAGCUGAACAAAUGCUUCUUGGUUUACUUAAAAAAAAAAGAAUUCUACAAGAUUUGCAAAUUGGAACAUUCAAGAACAUCUUCUAAGGAAAAUCAUGAGACAAUAAUCCUUUAAGAGAAUGUCUUCAAGAGGAAUUGAAUAACUUUGGAUGUACAUUGCUUUAGUUCAACUUAAACCACCUCUAGCAGUAAUAACUAGCUGAAUAUGGUUACGAUAUUAGUUAUUUUGACCACGUAAAUAGAUUUAGUAAUUCAUCUUUUCUACCUUCAAUUUAUAUAAGAAUACAUGUUUCUCUCUGAUGAGGCGUGCCCUUGGUAGCAUUAAUAAGAGGUAUAUUUCUUAAAAUAAAAAGGACAUA